rnacentral:rRNA from 1 species
UACAGAGGGUGCAAGCGUUGUUCGGAAUUAUUGGGCGUAAAGAGCGUGUAGGCGGCCCGGUAAGUCCGCUGUAAAAGUCAAAGGCUCAACCUUUGAAUGUCAGUGGAUACUGCCGGGCUAGAGUCCGGAAGAGGCGAGUGGAACUCCUGGUGUAGCGGUGGAAUGCGCAGAUAUCAGGAAGAACACCAACGGCGAAGGCAGCUCGCUGGGACGGUACUGACGCUGAGACGCGAAAGCGUGGGGAGCGAACAGG